AGAUUGUGUUGGGGGAAAUUCUUUAACAUUCCCUUGUAUCUCUCCCAAGCUUCAUAUAAAGAUUCACUAUCGUUUUGUUGGAACUUUUCUAUUUUCAUUUUGAGUUU